rnacentral:rRNA from 1 species
AUUGAACGCUGGCGGCAUGCUUUACACAUGCAAGUCGAACGGUAACAGGCCGCAAGGUGCUGACGAGUGGCGAACGGGUGAGUAAUGCAUCGGAACGUGCCCAGUCGUGGGGGAUAACUACUCGAAAGAGUAGCUAAUACCGCAUACGAUCUAUGGAUGAAAGCGGGGGACCGUAAGGCCUCGCGCGAUUGGAGCGGCCGAUGUCAGAUUAGGUAGUUGGUGGGGUAAAGGCUCACCAAGCCAACGAUCUGUAGCUGGUCUGAGAGGACGACCAGCCACACUGGGACUGAGACACGGCCCAGACUCCUACGGGAGGCAGCAGUGGGGAAUUUUGGACAAUGGGCGCAAGCCUGAUCCAGCAAUGCCGCGUGCAGGAAGAAGGCCUUCGGGUUGUAAACUGCUUUUGUACGGAACGUAACGGCUCUGGUUAAUACCCGGGGCUAAUGACGGUACCGUAAGAAUAAGCACCGGCUAACUACGUG